GGUUGCGAUCAUACCAGCAAUAAU
rnacentral:rRNA from 2 species